UGUGUCUGUGUGUGUGUCAUUGUUUAAUUUGUAAUAGAGACUUGCUGAUAGGUGCAAAAAUUAAAUCAUCUUUUGCAACCCAGAACUAAUUGUCCAAUAUGAAUUUAAGUACUUGUAUGAACCCCAUAAUAGU
rfam:Dipodomys ordii contig_59313, whole genome shotgun sequence.